rnacentral:rRNA from 1 species
AGCAGCCGCGGUAAUUCCAGCUCCAAUAGCGUAUAUUAAAGUUGCUGCAGUUAAAAAGCUCGUAGUUGGAUCUUGGGAGCGGGCGGGCGGUCCGCCGCGAGGCGAGCCACCGCCCGUCCCCGCCCCUUGCCUCUCGGCGCCCCCUCGAUGCUCUUAGCUGAGUGUCCCGCGGGGCCCGAAGCGUUUACUUUGAAAAAAUUAGAGUGUUCAAAGCAGGCCCGAGCCGCCUGGAUACCGCAGCUAGGAAUAAUGGAAUAGGACCGCGGUUCUAUUUUGUUGGUUUUCGGAACUGAGGCC